rnacentral:rRNA from 1 species
UGAGGAAUAUUGGUUAAUGGGCGCUAGCCUGAACCAGCCAUGCCGCGUGCAGGAAGACGGCCCUACGGGUUGUAAACUGCUUUUCUGCAGGAAGAAUAUAUAGUCUUAGGGGUAUAUUGACGGUACUGCAGGAAUAAGCAUCGGCUAACUCCGUGCCAGCAGCCGCGGUAAUACGGAGGAUGCAAGCGUUAUCCGGAUUCAUUAGGUUUAAAGGGUGCGCAGGCUGUAAGGCAAGUCAGUGGUGAAAGCCCUGGGCUUAACUCAGGGAUUGCCAUUGAAACUGUUUUACUAGAGUGUAGUAGAGGACGGCGGAAUGAGUUGUGUAGCGGUGAAAUGCAUAGAUAUAACUCAGAACACCUAUUGCGUAGGCAGCUGUCUAUACUACAACUGACGCUGAGGCACGAAAGCGUGGGGAGCGAACAGGAUUAGAUACCCUGGUAGUCCACGCUGUAAACGAUGAUCACUCGUUGUUGGCUACUUAGUAGUCAGUGACCAAGGGAAACCGAUAAGUGAUCCACCUGGGGAGUACGUCGGCAACGAUG